UACAGAGGGGGCAAGCGUUGUUCGGAAUUACUGGGCGUAAAGGGCGCGUAGGCGGCCUGCUAAGUCGAACGUGAAAUCCCCGAGCUCAACUCGGGAACUGCGUCCGAUACUGGCAGGCUUGAAUCCGGGAGAGGGAUGCGGAAUUCCAGGUGUAGCGGUGAAAAGCGUAGAUAUCUGGAGGAACACCGGUGGCGAAGGCGGCAUCCUGGACCGGCAUUGACGCUGAGGCGCGAAAGCGUGGGGAGCAAACAGG
rnacentral:rRNA from 1 species